UACGUAGGGACCGAGCGUUGUCCGGAAUCAUUGGGCGUAAAGAGCGUGUAGGCGGCCACUUAAGUCCUGCGUGAAAUCUUGCGGCUCAACCGCAAGCGGUCGUGGGAAACUGGGUGGCUAGAGUGCGGGAGAGGAGAGUGGAAUUCCCGGUGUAGCGGUGAAAUGCGCAGAUAUCGGGAAGAACACCCGUGGCGAAGGCGGCUCUCUGGGACGGUACUGACGCUGAGACGCGAAAGCGUGGGGAGCGAACAGG
rnacentral:rRNA from 1 species